UACGGAGGGUGCGAGCGUUGUCCGGAAUCACUGGGCGUAAAGGGCGCGUAGGUGGCGUCGCAAGUCAACGGUGAAAGCUCGACGCUCAACGUCGAGUCGGCCGUCGAGACUGCGAGGCUUGAGCACUGUAGAGGCAGAUGGAAUUCCGGGUGUAGCGGUGGAAUGCGUAGAUAUCACUUGGAACGCCAACGGUGAAGACAGUCUGCUGGGGAUUUGCUGACGCUGAGACACGAAAGCCAGGGGAGCGAACGGG
rnacentral:rRNA from 1 species